AUGCCGGCACUGCAGAUGGUGGCUUUACCCACUACUCCACAGCGCCAGCCCACAGUAUGCUACUUCUUAAAAGAAACAUGGAAGUGGCCAACAUUGUGGUGUAGCAGGUUAAGCUGCCACCUGCGAUGCCAGCAUCCCAUAUAUGCAGCAGUUCAAGUCCUGCCUGCUCCACUUCUGAUCAGCUCCCUCCUAAUGCAUGGAAGAAAGCAGCAAAAACGGCUGCAGCGUUUGGGCCCUGCCAUCCACGUGGGAGACCCGGAUGAAGCUCCUGGUUCCGGGCUUGAACCUGAUCCAGCCCUGGUCACUGCAGCCAUUGAGGGAAUGGACGAGUGUAUAGAAGCUCUCUCUCUCUCUCUCUCUCUCUGUCUCUGUCUCUCUGUCUCUCUGUCUCUCCCUCCCUCCCUGUGUGUAACUCUGCCUUUCAAAGAAAUAAAAUACAUCCAAACAAUUAAUAAGGAAAGAAAAGGAACAGAGAACCCACAAAUUGCAACAGAAGACAGAAAGCGACACAAGGCUGGAGCCCGCGGGGAGACGGCGGGAUUCCCGGGGCGAGCGAGCGCUGACCUGGGGAGGGGCCGCCUUGUCCCAGCUCCACUGAGAGCUCAGCCGGCACAAGAGCCAACAGAACAACUCGGAUUUGCCAGGGUGCCACACCUGAUCCGAGCUAACAGGGCCAUCCUGAACUUGCCUCGGGAAAGCUUUUUCAAGGGGCAGCUUCACAAGACAGUCUGGCUCUGCUGUGGGCGGGGCGUCUGUGGCUGGGCGAGGGGGGAAGAAUCCCGGUUACACAGCGCUCCUAGGACCUCGCGCCCAGUCUCUGCUGGGAGCACAGUUAAUUCUACUGCGUCCCAUGUUGCCUGUGGGGAGUGGACAGCGGCCGACUCCUGUCUUCCUGCUGUUCCUGCUCCCUCCCGGAGCCCUUGGCAGCAGACUUUCUCUACAUGGUACACAGCGCCCGAAGUUCUCUCUGGCCGCCCUCCACUCCCUCCGCUGGGUCAAGCCGACUUUCUCCCUACCCUGUGCAAAUCCUCAUUUCCUUCCUGCCCUGUCUUUCCCCUUCUCUCAAGAGCAAGGCGAUAA
rnacentral:lncRNA from 1 species